UACGGGGGGGGCAAGCGUUGUUCGGAAUUACUGGGCGUAAAGGGCUCGUAGGUGGCCAACUAAGUCGGACGUGAAAUCCCUCAGCUUAACUGGGGAACUGCGUCCGAUACUGGAUGGCUCGAGUUUGGGAGAGGGAUGCGGAAUUCCAGGUGUAGCGGUGAAAUGCGUAGAUAUCUGGAGGAACACCGGUGGCGAAGGCGGCAUCCUGGACCAACACUGACACUGAGGAGCGAAAGCCAGGGGAGCAAACGGG
rnacentral:rRNA from 1 species